rnacentral:rRNA from 1 species
GACGAACGCUGGCGGCGUGCCUAAUACAUGCAAGUAGAACGCACAGUUUAUACCGUAGCUUGCUACACCAUAGACUGUGAGUUGCGAACGGGUGAGUAACGCGUAGGUAACCUGCCUGGUAGCGGGGGAUAACUAUUGGAAACGAUAGCUAAUACCGCAUAAUAUUAAUUAUUGCAUGAUAAUUAAUUGAAAGGUGCAAUUGCACCACUACCAGAUGGACCUGCGUUGUAUUAGCUAGUAGGUGAGGUAACGGCUCACCUAGGCGACGAUACAUAGCCGACCUGAGAGGGUGAUCGGCCACCCUGGGACGGAGACACGGCCCAGACUCCUGCGGGAGGCAGCAGUAGGGAAUCUUCGGCAAUGGACGAAAGGCUGACCGGGCAACGCCGCGUGAGUGAAGAAGGUUUUCGGAUCGUAAAGCUCUGUUGUAAGAGAAGAACUGUGUGAGAGUGGAAAGUUCACACUAUGACGGUAGCUUAACAGAAAGGGACGGCUAACUACGUG